GACACCUGGGAGAAGAGAUCAGCACUUCCCUCUUCACUUCCCCUCCUCAGGAAGCUGUAGAGAGCAAUGAGGUCAGCCCUCAGCCUCUUUUUCUCCAAA